UACGUAGGGCGCAAGCGUUUAUCCGGAAUUAUUGGGCGUAAAGAGCUCGUAGGCGGUUUGUCGCGUCUGCUGUGAAAGACCGGGGCUCAACUGGGGAGGGUCACUCGAUACUGAUCGACUCGAAGGCAGGAGAGGGAAGCGGAAUUCCCGGUGUAGUGGUGAAAUGCGUAGAUAUCGGGGAGGAACACCAGUGGCGAAGGCGGCUUUCUGGC
rnacentral:rRNA from 1 species